rnacentral:lncRNA from 1 species
GGCCAGGGAUCAAAUCAGAGCUGCAGCUGCCAGCCUAUGCCACAGCCAUAGCCAUGUGGAAUCUGAGCCUCAUCUGGGACCUACACCACAGCUCAAGGCAACGCUCGAUCCUUAACCCACUGAGUGAGGCCAGGGAUUGAACUAGCAACCUCACGGAUACUAGUCAGGCUCAUUAUCACUGAGCCUCAAUGGGAACUCCCUACAAUCUGAUUCUUAGCCCAAGUGCACCACAGUGGGAACCCCUGUGUUCUCUUAUACUUAAAAAGACUGUGGUCUUCAGCUUUCUAGAAAAUGGAAUAGACAUAUACUUUCCUGUUCCUCCCACUAAGUACAGUGCCAAUCCUAGACAUCAUAAUUAACAAGUAGAAGAGGACACUUAAUGUUGGAGAGAAAAAGUUGGUUGGCUGGGAAACUCGGGACCUGAGGAGUGACAAAGUCAGGUGUACCCUGAGUUUUCUCUUUGUUUUGUAUCUCAAACAUGAGCUGAAGAAGUCAGCCAUCAAUGGGAAGAGACAAAAGAACAUCCUAAUGGAAGCUUGUUUUUUCCAGGCCAGGAAAAGAGCAAUCUAGUAAGUCAGAAAUCGCAUAUAAUAUCUUUGCUCUGGGCAAACACCACAGAAGGCACAGUGAUCCCAUCUCUACUUCUGUGAAGGCUGAGUGGAGCACCUACACUUCCACCCUCAUGAGAUUGUAAUGAGACACGGGGGUGGGAAGGAAGGCCAGGACAUGCACUCCACUGGUGGAAAAGCAAUCCCUGCCCCCCCCAGAGAUAAACACAAACAUGUACACACACAUACACAUAGACACACGGAUACGCACAGAUGCACACACACAGUUAUACACACACAUACAAACAAAGACACACACACACACAUAUGUGGAAUUUCAGUGCGGGCCACAUGGGAAGCCAGAAUUCUCACCCCUGCCCCGCUGUAUUGAGGAUCUCACAAGCCAGAUGCUAAGAGAAGCUGAGCAGGGACCUUGGUUUCUACAUCUUCAUGGCACUUAUGAGGUGGCACUGCUCCUUUUCACUGCCAGAACAGUGUUUCUGAGAAAGCCAGUUAAAACAUAAGAUUUAAUUAAGAUAGAGCUUCAUUACACAAUAAGUAAACAUCCAAGUUUAAAUUAAAAAUCACACUUCAUCCCUAGAACUCAGAAGAUCUUAAGCUAAAUGAAAACAAAAACAAAAACACAAUGAAUAGAUGCUCGUACCCAUUUGAGAUAUAUUAGAAUACUCUGAUGAAGAUUUAAAAGCAGCUGUGAAAAAAGGUUACAGUGAUCAAUUAUGAACACACUUAGAACAAAUGAAAAAUGCAAACCCUCAGCAAAGAAACAGUAUUGGCAAAAAAAUAAAAGACAUAAGAAGAGCCAAAGGAGGGAGCUCCUUUGUGGCUCAGCAGGCUAAGGAUCUGGUGUUGUCACUGCAAGAGCUCAGGUCACUGCUGUGGUACAGGUUCUAUCCCUGGCCCAGGAACUUCUAUAUGCCAAAAGUGCAGCACUACCACUCAAAGAAGAACCAAAUGAAAAUAUUAAAGCCAAAAAGCCUAAUAACAAAAGUAAAAUUUCAGUAAAAAGCCUUAACAUCAGAAAAGAAGAUUAAAAAAAAGGAAUCAGAAAAUUAAAAACAGUAGAAACAGUAAACAUUACUAUUAAACAGUAAAACUGAACCAUUUUGAAAAACAUAUGGAAAAUAAACAACAAAAACCAAAAAAUUACAGAGUUUCAGUUACCUAGAGUCUCUAAAAAAAUUAACCUUUGUGUCAUCAGAGUCCCAUAAGAAAAGGAGAAAGUAACUGGUGCUGAAAAAGAACUCAAAAAAAAAAAAAAAGGAAAAACACAUCCAAAAUUUGACAAGAGACAUAAAUCUACAGAUUUAAAAAUCUAAGUAGGUCAGAAAGAGAAAGACAAAUACCAUAUGAUAUCACUUAUACAUGGAAUCUAAUAUAGGGCACAAAGGAACCUUUCCACAGAAAAGAAAAUCAUGGACAUGGAGAACAGACUUGUGGUUGCCCAGGGGGAGGGGGAGGGAGUGGGAUGGACUGGGAGCUUGGGGUUAAUAGAUACAGAUUAUUGCCUUUGGAAUGGAUUAGCAAUGAGAUCCUGCUGUGUAGCACUGGGAACCAUAUCUAGUCACUUAUGAUGGCAUGAUAAUGUGAUAAAAAAGAAUGUAAACAUGUAUAUGUAAAUGGAUCACCAUGCUGUACAGUAGAAAAAAAAUAAUGCAUUGGGGAAAUUAAAAAAAAAAAAAAAAAGCUAAGUAAAUUCCAGAUAGCAUAGACCCAAAGAAAUUCAUACAAAGACAUAUCAUAAUUAAACUGAAUACUAAAAAUAGUCAAGAAACAAUUGAAUGAUUAGCAGUUUGCUCAUGAGAAACCACAGAGGCCAGAAUAUAAGUUGAAUGAUUUUUUAAAAAUUCCUUUUAUGGCUACACCAUGGAAUAUGGAAGUUCCAGAGAUAGGUACUGAAUCUGAGUCACAGCCGAAAUCUAUGCCACAGUUUUGGCAACACAGGAUCCUCAACCCACUGUGCCAGGCCAGGGGUCAAACUUGCUCCUCUGCAGCAACCCAAGCCACUGCAGUCAGAUUCUUAAUGCAGUGCACCACAGUGGGAACUCCAGUGGCAUGACAUUUUUCACAUACUUAAGAAAAAAAAUGUCAAUCACAAUUUCUUACUCAGCAAAAAACAUCCUUUAAGAAAGAAGAGAAAAUUAAAAAUGAAGAGGAGAUAGCGAAUAAAGAAAAACUAAGAAAAUUUGUCACCAGAAGAUCUAUCCUAAAAGAAAGGCUAAACCAUAUUACAUUAACAAAAAGAAAAUGAUAAUGGAGUCUUGUAACAUCAAGAAGGCAAAAAAGUACACAGUAAACCAAAAUAUGGGUCCAUUUGACUGGAUUUCCUUUUCUUCUUGAGUUUUCUAAAUUAUGAUUGAUAGUUGAAGCAAAUCUAACCGCAUCUAAAGUGGUUCUAAACAUAUGUAGUGAAAAUACUUAAAACAAUUAGAUUACAAAUGGGGGAGAGUAAAGAGGCUUAAAAGGACAUAAGCUUUCUUUACUUAAACUGAUAAAAUGAUGACACAGUAGAGUCUGAUGAAUUUUACACACACACACACACACACACACACACACACACACACACACACAGAGAAAAAGAAAAUGAAGAAGUUAAAAAGAGAGAUAACACACAGAAAAAAAAUAUUAAAUGUUAAGCUCUAAUAUUUUAACAUUUAAAUCAAAUAUAAAUGGUCUAAAAAACCAAUUAAGGAGUUCCCAUCGUAGCUCAAAGGCUAAUGAAUCUGACUAGGAACAUGAGGUUGAGGGUUUGAUCCCUGGCAUUGCUCAGUGGGUUAAGUAUCUGGUGUUGCCGUGAGCUGUGGUGUAGGCCUGCAGCUACAGCUUCAAUUAGACCCCUAGCCUGGGAACCAACAUAUGCUGUGGGUGUGGCCCUAAAAAGACAAAAAAAAAAAAAAAAAAAAAAAAAGAAAAAAGAGAAAACCAAUUAAAAGACAAAUUUUAAACCACAGCAAAACUGUAUUCUGUUUACCAAAAAUUACCGCAAUUGUAACAGUAUAGGCAGGUUGAAAGAAUGGAGAGGUAAAAAGAGAUUCAUGAAAACAUUAUUCAAAGGGAAACAGGGGUGACUAUAUUAAUAUCAGAUAAAGUAUACUUCAGAAAAAAUAAAACCAUUACAGCCAGAAAGAUAUAUUAUAUAAUUAUAAAAGGGUCCACCCUCCAAGAAGAAGGAGCAUCAUGAAAGUUGCGCCAAAGAGCAAUAUGCAAUGUACGUGAAGAAAGUACUAUCAGAAAUGAAAUGAGAAAUAGACAAAUUCAUAAUUAUAUUUGGGACUUUAAUUCCAUUCUCUAAAUAAUUGAUAGAACAACUAGACAGAAUAUCAACAAGGUUGUUACCAACCUACAACCAUAGUCACUUGUACAGUCAUUCCAAGGUCUACCAAGAUAGAACACAAACUGGGCAUAAAAUAGAACUCAACAAAUUCA